AACGCUGGCGGCGUGCAUAACACAUGCAAGUCGAACGAUGAAACUUAGCUGAUUUCUUCGGAAUGAAAAUAAGUGGAUUAGUGGCGAACGGGUGAGUAACACGUGAGUAACCUGCCUUACACAAGGGGAUAGCCUUUGGAAACGAAGAAUAAUACCCUAUAAAGUUAGUCAAUCGCAUGGUAGACUAACCAAAGAUUUAUCGGUGUAAGAUGGACUUGCGUCUGAUUAGCUAGUUGGUGAGAUAAAAGCCCACCAAGGCGACGAUCAGUAGCCGGCUUGAGAGAGUGUACGGCCACAUUGGGACUGAGACACGGCCCAAACUCCUACGGGAGGCAGCAGUGGGGAAUUUUGCACAAUGGGGGAAACCCUGAUGCAGCGACGCCGCGUGAUUUAGAAGGCCUUCGGGUUGUAAAAAUCUUUUUUAUGGGAUGAAAAUGACAGUACCAUAAGAAUAAGGUCCGGCUAAAUACGUGCAGCAGCCGCGGUAAUACGUAUGGACCGAGCGUUGUCCGGAAUCAUUGGGCGUAAAGGGUACGUAGGCGGCCUAGUAAGUUAGAAGUGAAAUAAUAUAGCUCAACUAUAUAAAGCUUUUAAAACUGUUAGGCUUGAGAGAUGAAAGGGAAAGUGGAAUUCCUAGUGUAGCGGUGAAAUGCGCAGAUAUUAGGAAGAAUACCGGUGGCGAAGGCGACUUUCUGGUCAUCAUCUGACGCUGAGGUACGAAAGCGUGGGUAGCAAACAGGAUUAGAUACCCUGGUAGUCCACGCUGUAAACGAUGAGUGUUAGGUUCUUGGAAUAAUCUGGGAGCCGCAGCUAACGCAUUAAACACUCCGCCUGGGGAGUACGCACGCAAGUGUG
rnacentral:rRNA from 1 species